rnacentral:rRNA from 1 species
AUAUGUAGGGGGCGAGCGUUGUCCGGAAUGAUUGGGCGUAAAGGGCGCGUAGGCGGCGCGGUAAGUCUGGAGUGAAAGUCCUGCUUUCAAGGUGGGAAUUGCUUUGGAUACUGCCGCGCUUGAGUGCAGGAGAGGUUAUCGGAAUUCCCGGUGUAGCGGUGAAAUGCGUAGAGAUCGGGAGGAACACCAGUGGCGAAGGCGGGUAACUGGACUGCAACUGACGCUGAGGCGCGAAAGUGUGGGGAGCAAACAGGAUUAGAUACCCUGGUAGUCCACACUGUAAACGAUGAAUGCUAGGUGUAAGAGGUAUCGACCCCUUUUGUGCCGGAGUCAACACAAUAAGCAUUCCGCCUGGGGAGUACGGCCGCAAGGUUGAAACUCAAAUGAAUUGACGGGG